rnacentral:rRNA from 1 species
CCUACGGGAGGCAGCAGUGGGGAAUAUUGCACAAUGGGCGCAAGCCUGAUGCAGCCAUGCCGCGUGUAUGAAGAAGGCCCUAGGGUUGUAAAGUACUUUCAGUCGGGAGGAAGGCGUUGAUGCUAAUAUCAUCAACGAUUGACGUUACCGACAGAAGAAGCACCGGCUAACUCCGUGCCAGCAGCCGCGGUAAU